rnacentral:RNase_P_RNA from 1 species
CCAGGUUAUUAGCUAGUCGCUUGCCUCGGCAAGAGGAAAGUCCGGACAGCAUAGGGCAAGACAGUUGCUAACGGCAACCAAGAGCAAUCUUAGGGAAAGUGCCACAGAAACAAUACAGCCCAGCUUAUUUUUCGAAGAUAAACUGAGCAAAGGUGAAAAGAGUGCGGUAAGAGCGCACAACGUCGUAUGGUGACAUACGAAGUCGGUAAACCCUGUCUGCUGCAAGGAGAUGAGUCCUUUGAGGCUAAACCUCAAAGUACCCGCUAAGGAUUCGUCAUAAGAACCGCGAGAUUUUAUCGGCGACGAUAAAACUAGAUAGAUGACUAGCCCUGUCUGCCGUCAGGCAGGCUCGACAAAAUCCGGCUUAUAGAUAGCCUGGCACA